rnacentral:rRNA from 1 species
ACGCUCGACACCUACGGAGCAGCAGUGGGGAAUAUUGCACAAUGGGGGAAACCCUGAUGCAGCGACGCCGCGUGAAGGAAGAAGUAUUUCGGUAUGUAAACUUCUAUCAGCAGGGAAGAAAAUGACGGUACCUGACUAAGAAGCCCCGGCUAACUACGUGCCAGUGGCCGCGGCAAUCUGAGGCGGGCUGGCAAGGC